rnacentral:rRNA from 1 species
UACCGGAUAGGUCACUUCGGCUGGAAGGCGUUGUGGUUGAAACUUCCGGGGCUUUUGGAUGGGUCUGCGGCUGAUUAGGUUGUUGCCGGUGUAAUGUACCGUCAAGCCUGUAAUCAGUACGGGUUGUGGGAGCAAGAGCCCGGAGAUGGAUUCUGAGACACGAAUCCAGGCCCUACGGGGCGCAGCAGGCGCGAAAACUCUACAAUGCAGGCAACUGCGAUAGGGGGACAUCGAGUGGCAUCCACCUUGGGGGUCUGUCCACCCGCCUAAAAAGCGGGUGUUAGCAAGGGCCGGGCAAGACCGGUGCCAGCCGCCGCGGUAAUACCGGCGGCUCGAGUGGUGGCCGAUAUUAUUGAGUCUAAAGGGUCCGUAGCCGGCUUUGCAAGUCUCUCGGGAAAUCCAGCGGCUUAACCGUUGGGCUGUCGGGGGGUACUACAUUGCUUGGGACUGGGAGAGGUAGGAGGUACUCAGGGGGUAGGAGUGAAAUCCUGUAAUCCUUUGGGGACCACCGGUGGCGAAGGCGUCUCGCCAGAACAGGUCCGACGGUGAGGGACGAGAGCCAGGGGCACGAACCGGAUUAGAUACUCGGGUAGUCCUAGCCGUAAACGAUGCUCGCUAGGUGUCACAACAGUCGUGAACUGUUGUGGUGCCGUAGGGAAGCCGUGAAGCGAGCCACUUGGGAAGUACGACCGCAAGGUUGAAACUUAAAGGA